rnacentral:rRNA from 1 species
GAGGAAUAUUGGUCAAUGGGCGACAGCCUGAACCAGCCAUCCCGCGUGAAGGAAGAAGGCGCUAUGCGUUGUAAACUUCUUUUCCAGAGGGAUAAAAUGAUGUACGCGUACAUUACUGAAGGUACUCUGGGAAUAAGCAUCGGCUAACUCCGUGCCAGCAGCCGCGGUAAUACGGAGGAUGCGAGCGUUAUCCGGAUUUAUUGGGUUUAAAGGGUGCGUAGGCGGGGCAAUAAGUCAGUGGUGAAAACCUGCAGCUUAACUGUAGACUUGCCGUUGAUACUGUUGUUCUUGAGUAUGGUCAAGGCAGGCGGAAUGUGUAAUGUAGCGGUGAAAUGCUUAGAUAUUACACAGAACACCGAUAGCGAAGGCAGCUUGCUGGGCCGUUACUGACGCUGAUGCACGAAAGCGUGGGGAUCGAAC